rnacentral:rRNA from 1 species
GCAAAUUACCCACUCCCGGCACGGGGAGGUAGUGACGAAAAAUAACGAUACGGGACUCAUCCGAGGCCCCGUAAUCGGAAUGAGCACACUUUAAAUCCUUUAACGAGUAUCCAUUGGAGGGCAAGUCUGGUGCCAGCAGCCGCGGUAAUUCCAGCUCCAAUAGCGUAUAUUAAAGUUGUUGCGGUUAAAAAGCUCGUAGUCGGACUUGUGUCACACGCUGCCGGUUCACCGCCCGUCGGUGUUUAACUGGCAUGCACGUGCUGACGUCCUGCCGGUGGCCCGAGCCGGUCCGGGAGCUCUGGGUGCGGGAUUCCCUCCGGGGGCUCGCCUCGAACCCGGUUCUUGGGGAGGGCCUACUCAUACCCCUCGCGGUGCUCUUAACCGAGUGUCUCGAUGGGCCGGCACGUUUACUUUGAACAAAUUAGAGUGCUUAAAGCAGGCAGCAUCCGCCUGAAUACUGAGUGCAUGGAAUAAUGGAAUAGGACCUCGGUUCUAUUUUGUUGGUUUUCGGAAUCCCCGAGGUAAUGAUCAAUAGGGACAGACGGGGGCAUUCGUAUUGCGACGUUAGAGGUGAAAUUCUUGGAUCGUCGCAAGACGGACCGAAGCGAAAGCAUUUGCCAAGAAUGUUUUCUCUGAUCAAGAACGAAAGUUAGAGGUUCGAAGGCGAUCAGAUACCGCCCUAGUUCUAACCAUAAACGAUGCCAGCCAGCAAUCCGCCGAAGUUCCUCCGAUGACUCGGCGGGCGGCUUCCGGGAAACCAAAGCUUUUGGGUUCCGGGGGAAGUAUGGUUGCAAAGCUGAAACUUAAAGGAAUUGACGGAAGGGCACCACCAGGAGUGGAGCCUGCGGCUUAAUUUGACUCAACACGGGAAACCUCACCAGGCCCGGACACCGGGAGGAUUGACAGAUUGAGAGCUCUUUCUUGAUUCGGUGGGUGGUGGUGCAUGGCCGUUCUUAGUUGGU